UACAGAGGGUGCAAGCGUUGUUCGGAAUUAUUGGGCGUAAAGGGUGCGUAGGCGGUGCGGUAAGUCUCUUGUGAAAUCUCCGGGCUCAACCCGGAGCCUGCAAGGGAAACUGCCGUGCUUGAGUGUGGGAGAGGUGAGUGGAAUUCCCGGUGUAGCGGUGAAGUGCGUAGAUAUCGGGAGGAACACCUGUGGCGAAAGCGGCUCACUGGACCACAACUGACGCUGAUGCACGAAAGCUAGGGGAGCAAACAGG
rnacentral:rRNA from 1 species